GAUGAACGCUAGCGGAAGGCAUAAUACAUGCAAGUCGAACGGAUGUAGCAAUACAUUAGUGGCGCACGGGUGCGUAACGCGUAUGUAACCUACCUUCAUCAGGGGGAUAACUACCCGAAAGGGUGGCUAACACCGCAUAAUACUAUUGAGUGGCAUCACUUGAUAUUUAAAUCUGAGGAGGAUGAAGAUGGGCAUGCGUCUGAUUAGCUAGUUGGUGUGGUAACGGCGCACCAAGGCGACGAUCAGUAGGGGAACUGAGAGGUUGGUCCCCCACACUGGCACUGAGAUACGGGCCAGACUCCUACGGGAGGCAGCAGUAGGGAAUAUUGGUCAAUGGUGGGAACACUGAACCAGCCAUUCCGCGUGCAGGAAGAAGGGUCUCUGACUUGUAAACUGCUUUAGCAAGGGAAGAAAAAGCUCAUGCGUGAGAAAUUGACGGUACCUUGAGAAUAAGCACCGGCUAACUACGUGCCAGCCGCCGCUGUAAUAC
rnacentral:rRNA from 1 species